rnacentral:rRNA from 1 species
UGGUUAAAAAGCUCGUAGUUGGAUCUCGGCGGUCUGAGGGCGGUUCGCUUGAUUGAGUGCUACUGCUCUAUAGGCCGUGGUUUUGCCAGAGGUCACGGGGUGCUCUUAACCGAGUGUCCUGCGAUGCUGGCAGGUUUACUUUGAAAAAAUUAGAGUGCUCAAAGCAGGCUUUUACGCCUGAAUAUUCGUGCAUGGAAUAAUAGAAUAGGAAGUCGUUUCUAUUUUGUUGGUUUUCGGAAAUCGACUUAAUGAUUAAUAGGGACAGUCGGGGGCAUUUGUAUUCAAACGACAGAGGUGAAAUUCUUGGACCGUUUGAAGACAAACUACUGCGAAAGCAUUUGCCAAGAAUGUUUUCAUUAAUCAAGAACGAAAGUUAGAGGUUCGAAGGCGAUUAGAUACCGCCCUAGUUCUAACCAUAAACGAUGCCAGCUAGCGAUCUGCCGACGUUUUCUUUAUAGACUCGGCAGGAAGCUUCCGGGAAACCAAAGCAUUUGGGUUCCAGGUGAAGUAUGGUUGCAAAGCUGAAACUUAAAGGAAUUGACGGAAGGGCACCACCAGGAGUGGAGCCUGUGGCUUAAUUUGACUCAACACGGGAAAUCUCACCAGGCCCGGACACUGGAAGGAUUGACAGAUUGAUAGCU